UACGGAGGGUGCAAGCGUUAUCCGGAUUCACUGGGUUUAAAGGGUGCGUAGGUGGGUUGGUAAGUCAGUGGUGAAAUCUCCGAGCUUAACUUGGAAACUGCCGUUGAUACUAUCAAUCUUGAAUAUCGCGUAGGUAAGCGGAAUAUGUCAUGUAGCGGUGAAAUGCUUAGAUAUGACAUAGAACACCAAUUGCGAAGGCAGCUUGCUACACGGUCAUUGACACUGAGGCACGAAAGCGUGGGGAGCAAACAGG
rnacentral:rRNA from 1 species